UACGAAGGGGGCUAGCGUUGCUCGGAAUCACUGGGCGUAAAGCGCACGUAGGCGGAUCGUUAAGUCGGAGGUGAAAUCCUGGAGCUCAACUCCAGAACUGCCUUUGAUACUGGCGAUCUUGAGUCCGGGAGAGGUGAGUGGAACUGCGAGUGUAGAGGUGAAAUUCGUAGAUAUUCGCAAGAACACCAGUGGCGAAGGCGGCUCACUGGCCCGGUACUGACGCUGAGGUGCGAAAGCGUGGGGAGCAAACAGG
rnacentral:rRNA from 1 species